rnacentral:rRNA from 1 species
UACAGAGGUCUCAAGCGUUGUUCGGAUUCAUUGGGCGUAAAGGGUGCGUAGGCGGCGCGGUAAGUCGGGUGUGAAAUCUCGGAGCUUAACUCCGAAACUGCAUUCGAUACUGCCGUGCUUGAGGACUGGAGAGGAGACUGGAAUUUACGGUGUUGCGGUGAAAUGCGUAGAUAUCGUAAGGAAGACCAGUGGCGAAGGCGGGUCUCUGGACAGUUCCUGACGCUGAGGCACGAAGGUCAGGGGAGCAAACGGG